rnacentral:rRNA from 1 species
UACGGAAGGGGCGAGCGUUGUUCGGAAUCAUUGGGCGUAAAGGGCGCGUAGGUGGUUCUGUAUGUCUACCGUGAAAGCGUACGGCUCAACCGUAUUUUGUCGGUAGAAACUGCAGGACUUGAGGCUGGGAGGGGCUGGUGGAAUUCCCUGUGUAGCGGUGAAAUGCGUAGAGAUGGGGAGAACACUCGUGGCGAAGGCGGCCAGCUAGACCAGUUCUGACACUGAGGCGCGACAGCCUGGGGAUCAAACAGGA